rnacentral:lncRNA from 1 species
AUAUUAUACCCUUACCCCACUAGAGAUCAAGCCUAACACAUUUGGCGAGAAAUUUGGAUUUUUGCCAUUCCAAAUAAUGGGCUUCGCAAAAUUCCCACACAAAUAUGGGUUUCUCAAAAACCACCACUUGAAAUGUUGACACAUUAUUUUCCUGGCCAUUUUUCUCAUUUUAAUGGUUUAUUUUCCAUUUUGCAUUUUGAGGGCCGGUGAAAAGGACCAAAUUACCCCGAGCAAUUUACUUAUCUGGCUUGAUUGAAUCGG